UACGGAGGGUGCAAGCGUUAUCCGGAUUCACUGGGUUUAAAGGGUGCGUAGGAGGGCAGGUAAGUCAGUGGUGAAAUCCUGGGGCUUAACCCCAGACUGCCGUUGAUACUAUCGGUCUUGAAUGUCGUUGGAGGUGAGCGGAAUAUGUCAUGUAGCGGUGAAAUGCUUAGAUAUGACAUAGAACACCAAUUGCGAAGGCAG
rnacentral:rRNA from 1 species